UACGAAGGACCCGAGCGUUAUCCGGAUUUAUUGGGUUUAAAGGGUGCGUAGGCGGAUUAGUAAGUCAGUGGUGAAAGCCCAUCGCUUAACGGUGGAACUGCCAUUGAUACUGCUAGUCUUGAGUAUGGUUGAGGUGGGCGGAAUGUGUCAUGUAGCGGUGAAAUGCUUAGAGAUCUGGAAGAACACCAAAGGCGAAGGCAGCAUCCUGGGAAGUUCCUGACGCUCGGGUGCGAAAGCCAGGGGAGCGAACGGG
rnacentral:rRNA from 1 species